rnacentral:snRNA from 1 species
AGAUGUGAGGGCGAUCUGGCUGCGACAUCUGUCACUCCAUUGAUCGCCAGGGUUGAUUCAGCUGAUCUGGCUCCCUAGGCGGGUGUCCCCUUCCUCCCUCACCGCUCCAUGUGUGUCCCUCCCAAAGCUGCGCACCCCCUCAGUCAAAGAAGACGGCCUUCCCCAAAUAGAGGCGGACCAGUCUUCUUCGGUCAAGGGUAUAAGUAGCUGCGCUCCCUUGUUAGAACUUCCAAACAAGCACUCAAGGUCAAAAAUAAAAUAAAUCUGAGAGAGAGAGAGAGAGUUU